UUUGGGGGGUGGUCUAAGGUGGUUUUGUGCCCUGCAGGGGUCGGGGAGCCGGGAUUCCCGCCUUGCCCCAUGCGUGGGGCAGACCGCUGCUGCCCUUUCCGUGCCGGGCUGACAACCAGAGCGUGUUUUCCAGCGGGGGUGGAGGAAGGCCGGGCCCACGGCGGUGCUAUGCCACAGGGGGCCAAGGGCCAGCUCUGCUUCCCGUGGGGGGGGAAGGGAAAGGCUUCCCACGGGCAGGGGUCACGGGGUAGUACCGAUACCAGGGGCACAGCUGCCCAGUGGCACCUGGCCCAGCCCACCUGCCGGCUCACUUUCCGCUGCGCUCACUAAGCCGCAUGGAGGGAGCGGGGCCCAUUCGCACCAUGGUGGGCAGAGACGUGAACACGUAACUCGUGGGCAGGAGGCGCUGGCGCAGUUCGUUGCAGUGGGGCUCAUCUUUUUCUUCACCGGCGUCCCACCUACUACCCACGUUUUCCCUCGGCAGGCGUCCCUCCUCCUGGAGCAGACAGCUAGUCCCAAAAUACGCCCUGCUUUAAAGAAAUGUUUUCACAUUGUUGAAUGCCAGUUUUUGCCGCUGCUGUUCUGUGUAAUGCUCUGUGGUGCCGCCCAUACCAUACUAGGCAACUUCCACGCAUUCAGCAAGAGGGCCUGCUCCUUGGAUGUCACAGCCUGAGGCCAAAAGGAAAGCAUAAAGUGGAAGCCAAGAAGAAAGAUGGAGAGAACAUAUUUACCCAUUUAAUUUCUCUUAAUUACCCCAAAUGGCUCUCUACUAAUUGGUAUGGAGAUAAGGAGGAAAAAAAAAGCUGUACAACACCAGUCUAGUGGAGUGCCAUUAAGGGGGUGUUCAUUAAAUGGCACCAAAGGAAAAGUGCAUAAAUCUGGGUGAAGGAAGAAAAAGGCCGUGCUUCCCUGCAUACAGCAGCUUACUGUCAAAUAAAACUGGAUCAUAAAAAGCUAAACAUUGACAAUGAUAAGACACGCCUUAGACAAAUGCAAUCUGAGUGCAUGUUGCAUUGUGACAUUACUGUUUUUUGGAUAGAUUUUGAAUGUAAAGGAGUUAGCUAUUGAGAAAAAUGUUUGCUGCCAGUUUAAUGCACCUUUUUUCCCCCCAGUUGCUAGAUAUGGCAUCACUCGAGGCUUUUGCCAUCUGAAGUGCUCUUUAGCACCUGCACACAUGCUACUACAGCAUGCCAGGACACAAGUCACAAUGACAAAGACUUUGAAACAAACUCAAAUUGAGAGACACGAGUAGAAAGCCAGGGCAAAAAUGAGAGGAACAGAAUGAUCAAAAGGACGGAGGAGAAGGGAAAAGUCUCCCUUUGGGCUAAGUCGAUUCAUGCAGACAAUGCAAUUAGGCUGUUGCAACAGUUUACAUGUUUAGCACUGCAGUGUGCAUGUUGGGGGAAGACAAAGAGAAAGCUGCUAUGGGAGGGGAGAGGGAGAGGAACACUUCAGGCUGGUGCUGAAAGGAAGAGAAAGUAAAUCGGAGGAAAGAGAAGAAUUACAACCAUUAGAUAGAAAAAGCAAGCAAGAAGAGGGCAGGAAAAAGCGAGCGAUAGUCUAUCUGUUGCUUUCUUGCAAUGGCUCAAGCCUCAGACAGGAGAAGGAGGGUCAGGGCCAGGGGGUACUGGUUCAGAAGUCAGUAGGAAUCCCUCAGUGGGCACUAGAAUAAAAGCAGACAGCUCCGCAGGCCUGAUUUGCUCUCUCUAUAGAGCAGUUGGUCUUUUCUGCCCUGCAAGAUGUGAGCAGGACACCUGGUACAGCAACUGCCUUGUAGAGGCCCUUUACAGUGGGCCAAGGGAAAACUAACUUCUGUUCAAGGGACCUGUUCAAAAGAGCAAAGCAGCAAAUUGUUCAAAGGAAAAGGAAAGACUCUUCUGGACAGGUCACCAGAUUUUCUGAGUGAACACCACCAGCGCCAGAGCAGUUGCUGCCUGGAGAUUCAAGGGAUAUGGAACGUGACCCAGGCUGCACCAAAACUCAUCUCUAAUGCAAUGACCUGGGGACACAAUCAAUUCCAAUGAUACGUUUUGUGUCUGCUAUACUCUCAUUUUAUUUCCAACUGGCAACAAUAAAACCCCAACAUGUCAAUGCCUUUGUACA